rnacentral:ribozyme from 13 species
CCCACAAACUAACUUCCCCAACAACAAAGAAACAACAAUUCAACAGAACAAAAAAUAGGCGACGUCUCCCUUUGUAUUCUCUUUCUCUUUCCUUUCUCUUUCUCU